rnacentral:misc_RNA from 1 species
AGCCUGCGCAGUCCUCUCCCUCGCCGCCGGAAUGGCUUUGCUACUGCGCAGGCUAUCGAGAUCUUCACCUUUCGGGAUCGGAAGCGGGGCCCGAGGCCGCCGAUUUCCCGUCGGAGCGACCGUCGCCGUCGCCGGCGGCAUCGCCGCCUACUACUACGGCACCUCUCCGAUCAUUGCGCAACUUGAUUCACAGGGUGAAGAAACGGCUGGGAGAGUUGCACUUAACCCAG